AAUAAUAGCAGAGUAUGAAGAGAAAUGAAGAAUGAGAAAUGAGAUUUCGUAUGAAGAAAUGAGAAAUGAAGCAGAUGGGUAGCCCUCUGCUGGGGCCUUAUGGAAGGAAAGCCCUCUGCUAGGGCCUUAUGGGGUCAGAGCCUCCACACAGAGUCCCUACUGGGGCACCACCAGGUGCAGCUGUGAGAAGAGGACCACCAUCCUUCAGACCUCAGAACAGUAGAUCUAUCGACAGCUUGCACCCUAUGCCUGAAGAAGCUGCAGACACUCAACACCAGCCCAUGAAAACAGCAGGGAGGGAGGCUGUCCCCUGCAAAGCCACAAGAGUGGAGCUGCCCAAGAGCAUGAGCACCCAACUUUUCCAUCAGUGUGACAUGAAUGCUGGAUUCAAAAAAGACAUGGAUUCAAUAAAGAUCAUUUUGAAGCUUCAAGAUUUGACUGCUCUGCUGGAUUUCAGACUGGCAUGGGGCCUACUGUACCUACGUUGUUCUGGCCAAUUUCUCCCAUAUGGAAAGACAGUAUUUACCCAAUACCUGUACCCCCAUUGUAUCUAGGUAGUAACUAACUUGCUUUUGGCUUUACAGGCUCAUAAGUGGAAGGGUCUUGCCUUGUUUCAGAUGAGACACUUGACUGUGAACUAUUGAGUUAAUGCUGAAAUGAGUUAAGAUUUUGGGGGACUGUUGGGAAGGCAUAAUUGGUUUUAAGGUGUGAGGAAAUGAGAGUUGGGAGGUGCCAAGGGUAUAAUAAUAUGGUUUGGCUGUGUCCUCACCCAAAUCUCAUCUUGAAUUGUAGCUCCCACAAUUCUCACAUAUUGUCUGUUGGAGGAACCCAGUGGGAGGUGAUUGAAUUAUGGGGUCAGGUCUUUCCUGCACCGUUCUCGUGAUAGUGAAUAAGUCUCACAAGAUCUGAUGGUUUUAAAAAGAGGCAUUCCCCUGCACAAGAUCUCUGUUUGCCUGCUGCCAUCUAUGUUAGAUGUCACUUGCUUUCCUUGCCUUCUACUGUGAUUGUGAGGCCUCCUGAGCCAUCUGGAACUGUUAAGUUCAAUAAAGCUUUUUCUUUUGUAAAUUGC
rnacentral:lncRNA from 10 species